rnacentral:rRNA from 1 species
GUAGUUGACUCCUGGCUACAGGACACGCUGGCGGCGUGCUUAACACAUGCAAGUCGAACGAUGAUCAGGAGCUUGCUCCUGUGAUUAGUGGCGAACGGGUGAGUAACACGUGAGUAACCUGCCCCUGACUCUGGGAUAAGCGUUGGAAACGACGUCUAAUACUGGAUAUGAUCACUGGUCGCAUGGCCUGGUGGUGGAAAGAUUUUUGGUUGGGGAUGGACUCGCGGCCUAUCAGCUUGUUGGUGAGGUAAUGGCUCACCAAGGCGACGACGGGUAGCCGGCCUGAGAGGGUGACCGGCCACACCGGGACUGAGACACGGCCCAGACUCCUACGGGAGGCAGCAGUGGGGAAUAUUGCACAAUGGGCGAAAGCCUGAUGCAGCAACGCCGCGUGAGGGAUGACGGCCUUCGGGUUGUAAACCUCUUUUAGUAGGGAAGAAGGGAGCUUCGGUUCUUGACGGUACCUGCAGAAAAAGCACCGGCUAACUACGUG